rnacentral:rRNA from 1 species
CCUACGGGUGGCAGCAGUGGGGAAUAUUGGACAAUGGGGACAACCCUGAUCCAGCCAUGCCGCGUGUGUGAAGAAGGCCCUCGGGUUGUAAAGCACUUUCAGUGAGGAAGAACGCCUGGUGGUUAAUACCCAUCAGGAAAGACAUCACUCACAGAAGAAGCACCGGCUAACUCCGUGCCAGCAGCCGCGGUAAUACGGAGGGUGCGAGCAUUAAUCGGAAUUACUGGGCGUAAAGCGCGCGUAGGUGGCUUGAUAAGCCGGUUGUGAAAGCCCCGGGCUCAACCUGGGAACGGCAUCCGGAACUGUCAAGCUAGAGUGCAGGAGAGGAAGGUAGAAUUCCCGGUGUAGCGGUGAAAUGCGUAGAGAUCGGGAGGAAUACCAGUGGCGAAGGCGGCCUUCUGGACUGACACUGACACUGAGGUGCGAAAGCGUGGGUAGCAAACAGGAUUAGAUACCCGUGUAGUC